rnacentral:lncRNA from 1 species
UAUUAUUCUCUAACCUCUAUUAUCUAUAUUCUCUUCUCUACUUGUUUAUUUGUUAUCAUGUCUCAUGGUCGUGGUAACCGUGGCAAGUCUAUCAAUGUCGACCACGAAGAAGAUAUUGAUAGCACUCCCACUUCUCCCGAGUUUACUCAAAAUGUUCAAGUUCCAUCAUCAUCCUCUAGGAGAAGGGUGAAAAUUCCAGUUGAACGAGGACCAUACAACGCACGCCGGGAGGCUGCCGAUGAAGUAUACAACUUCAAGAAGCGGAGGAUGAAGAAUAUGCACGUAGAGUUCGACAACUAGAGGCGGAGGAGGAAGCCGACCAAGCACGUCACAACGUUGAGGAGGAAAUCCCUCCCACUAGAGGCAAGGGUAAGGGUAAGAGUAAAACACUUUCUUCUAACAUUUUCAUAAAACAUUUUAGGAGGGAACCCGCUC